CCUUAUCUACCGUACCUCAGCAAGAUGGCUGGGGGGGGGACUACCCCAGCUUGUUGUGAGCGAGGGGCAGGAAUACACUCAAAGUGUAUUCCUGCCUCUAACUCACAACCGUGGCCGAUUUAGUAUCUCCGAUUAACCUGUCUGCAUGUCUUUGGGAUGGGGUACCCGGAGGAAACCCAGGUGGACACGGGGAGAACAUGCAAACUCCGCACAGAGCCGAGAUUCGAUAUCACGACCUUCGUACUGUGAGGCGACAGCGCUACCCACUGCGCCACCGUGCCACCGAUUACAAUGCUUGCUUGGCAAAGAUAUCAAGGAUGAUCAAGGAUGACGUGCCCUUAGCCUCUCAAGGAUGACGUGCCCUUAGCCUCAUAGCUCCAGGCUAGCUCCCGUAAUUAGUACUGCUCGAUUGUUCCCGGUUUAGCAAUGGCGACCUUCUACACCCGCUGUCAAUAGGAGCUCCCAAAGAUAAACAUCACUCGCGUUCAUAGGAUUUUCACAACGACUAAAGACUCAACCGGCAAAUUGGAGAAAGGCUAUUAAUUAUAUGCCAUGUGUAUAUUUGCAACUACCAAGCAAUCCGCCAGGCCGUCUCCAGAUCUCUUGUGGCACGCUACCAGAAAUAUGUGGUUGAAACCUCUAAGAAGGAGAUCGAAGACAUCCUGAUCCGGUAUUGCGGGACCUUGUUGGUGGCCGACUCCCGCCGCUCCCGGUCCAACGAGUUUGCUGGACCCGGAGCCCGCCCUCGCUACCAGAAGUCUUACUGCUAAAAAUGCUGUCUUCACUUUUAUAUACAAUAAAAAAGAAAAUGACCUAAA